CGGCGGACGGGUGAGUAACGCGUGGGAAUAUACCUUUUGGUGGGGGACAACAGUUGGAAACGACUGCUAAUACCGCAUACGCCCUUCGGGGGAAAGAUUUAUCGCCAAAAGAUUAGCCCGCGUUAGAUUAGAUAGUUGGUAGGGUAAUGGCCUACCAAGUCUACGAUCUAUAGCUGGUCUGAGAGGAUGACCAGCCACACUGGAACUGAGACACGGUCCAGACUCC
rnacentral:rRNA from 1 species